GUAAAUAUAGUUUAACUAAAAUGCUGGAUUGUGAUUCCAGAGACAGGGGUUAAACUCCCCUUAUUCACC
rnacentral:tRNA from 1 species